rnacentral:rRNA from 1 species
CUUGCACACUAUAAGAGGUCCCGCCUGCCCAGUGAUUAUUUAACGGCCGCGUGAUUUUAAGCGCGCAAAGGUAGCGAAAUCAUUUGUUCUUUAAAUGAGGACCAGUAUCAACGGCACCACGAGGACUUUACUGUCUCCUCUUCCUAAUCAGUGAAACUAAUCUCCCUGUGAAAAAGCAGGGAUAAUACUAUAAGACGAGAAGACCCCAUGGAGCUUUAAACUUUUGGCAACUUUUAGUAAACCUACUACCCUUCAAUACCUAAGCUAUGCCCAAUCGUUUUAGGUUGGGGCGACCGCGGAGUAAAACUUAACCUCCAUGACAAAAGGACAUCUCCUAAUCUAAGAAAGACAUUUCUAAGAAUCACUAACCUGAUGUUUUAUGACCCGACUAUCGAUCAACGAACUA